UACCAGCACCCCGAGUAGUCGGGACGAUUAUUGGGCCUAAAGCAUCCGUAGCCGGUUCUGCAAGUCCCCCGUUAAAUCCAGCUGCUCAACAGAUGGGCCGCGGAGGAUACUACAGAGCUAGGAGGCAGGAGAGGCAAGCGGUACUCAGUGGGUAGGGGUAAAAUCCGUUGAUCCAUUGAAGACCACCAGUGGCGAAGGCGGCUUGCCAGAAUGCGCUCGACGGUGAGGGAUGAAAGCUGGGGGAGCAAACCGG
rnacentral:rRNA from 1 species